rnacentral:rRNA from 1 species
GUCUACGGCCAUGCCACCCUGAACAAGCCUGAUGUCUAAUCUUGGAAGCUAAGCAAGGUUGGGCCUGGUUAGUACUUGAAUAAGAGACCACCUUGGAAGACCAGUGCUGUAGGCA